UACGAAGGGGGCUAGCGUUGUUCGGAAUUACUGGGCGUAAAGGGCUCGUAGGUGGCCAACUAAGUCGGACGUGAAAUCCCUCGGCUUAACCGGGGAACUGCGUCCGAUACUGGAUGGCUUGAGUUUGGGAGAGGGAUGCGGAAUUCCAGGUGUAGCGGUGAAAUCGCGCAGAUAUCAGGAGGAACACCGAUGGCGAAGGCAGGUCUCUGGGCAUUAACUGACGCUGAGGAGCGAAAGCAUGGGGAGCGAACAGG
rnacentral:rRNA from 1 species